UACAGAGGGUGCAAGCGUUAAUCGGAAUUACUGGGCGUAAAGCGUGCGUAGUCGGUUAUUUAAGUCGGGCGUGAAAGCCCCGGGCUCAACCUGGGAAUUGCGUUCGAUACUGAAUAGCUAGAGUUCGGCAGAGGGAAGCGGAAUUUCGGGUGUAGCGGUGAAAUGCGUAGAUAUCCGAAGGAACAUCAGUGGCGAAAGCGGCUUCCUGGACCGACACUGACGCUGAGGCGCGAAAGCCAGGGGAGCAAACGGGG
rnacentral:rRNA from 1 species